rnacentral:rRNA from 1 species
UAGCCGUAAACGAUACUCGCUAGGUGUCGGCCACGGUGCGACCGUUGUCGGUGCCGUAGGGAGCCGUGAAGCGAGCCACCUGGGAAGUACGGCCGCAAGGCUGAAACUUAAAGGAAUUGGCGGGGGAGCACCACAACGGGUGGAGCUUGCGGUUUAAUUGGAUUCAACGCCGGAAAUCUUACCGGGACCGACAGCAACAUGAAGGCCAGGCUGAAGACUUUGCCGGAUUAGCUGAGAGGAGGUGCAUGGCGUAGACGUCU